rnacentral:rRNA from 1 species
UGGGGAAUAUUGGACAAUGGGGGGAACCCUGAUCCAGCCAUGCCGCGUGUGUGAAGAAGGCCUUAUGGUUGUAAAGCACUUUAAGCGAGGAGGAGGGUACUGGUAUUAAUACUACCAGCUACUGGACGUUACUCGCAGAAUAAGCACCGGCUAACUCUGUGCCAGCAGCCGCGGUAAUACAGAGGGUGCGAGCGUUAAUCGGAUUUACUGGGCGUAAAGCGUGCGUAGGCGGCUAAUUGAGUCGGAUGUGAAAUCCCCGAGCUUAACUUGGGAAUUGCAUUCGAUACUGGUUAGCUAGAGUGUGGGAGAGGAUGGUAGAAGUCCAGGUGUAGCGGUGAAAUGCGUAGAGAUCUGGAGGAAUACCGAUGGCGAAGGCAGCCAUCUGGCCUAACACUGACGCUGAGGUACGAAAGCAUGGGGAGCAAACAGG